rnacentral:rRNA from 1 species
AGUGAACGCUGGCGGUAGGCCUCGCACAUGCAAGUCGAACGGCAGCACAGUAAGAGCUUGCUCUUACGGGUGGCGAGUGGCGGACGGGUGAGGAAUACAUCGGAAUCUACUUUUUCGUGGGGGAUAACGUAGGGAAACUUACGCUAAUACCGCAUACGACCUACGGGUGAAAGCAGGGGAUCUUCGGACCUUGCGCGAUUGAAUGAGCCGAUGUCGGAUUAGCUAGUUGGCGGGGUAAAGGCCCACCAAGGCGACGAUCCGUAGCUGGUCUGAGAGGAUGAUCAGCCACACUGGAACUGAGACACGGUCCAGACUCCUACGAGAGGCAGCAGUGGGGAAUAUUGGACAAUGGGCGCAAGCCUGAUCCAGCCAUACCGCGUGGGUGAAGAAGGCCUUCGGGUUGUAAAGCCCUUUUGUUGGGAAAGAAAAGCAGCAGGUUAAUACCCCGCUGUUCUGACGGUACCCAAAGAAUAAGCACCGGCUAACUUCGUG